rnacentral:rRNA from 1 species
CCUACGGGAGGCAGCAGUAGGGAAUCUUUCACAAUGGGCGAAAGCCUGAUGGAGCAACGCCGCGUGCAGGAUGAAGGCCUUCGGGUUGUAAACUGCUUUUAUAAGCGAGAAAUAUGAUGGUAACUUAUGAAUAAGGAUCGGCUAACUACGUGCCAGCAGCCGCGGUCAUACGUAGGAUCCGAGGAUUAUCCGGAGUGACUGGGUGUAAAGAGUUGCGUAGGUGGCAUAAUAAGUAGCUAGUGAAAUCUGGUGGCUCAACCAUUCAGACUAUUAGCUAAACUGUUAAGCUCGAGACCGUUAGGGGUAACUGGAAUUUCUAGUGUAGGAGUGAAAUCCGUAGAUAUUAGAAGGAACACCAAUAGCGUAGGCAGGUUGCUGGGACGGUUCUGACACUAAGGCACGAAAGCGUAGGGAGCAAACGGGAUUAGAUACCCGAGUAGUC